rnacentral:rRNA from 1 species
CUGAGAGGGCGACCGGCCACAUUGGGACUGAGUUACGGCCCAGACUCCUACGGGAGGCAGCAGUGGGGAAUAUUGCACAAUGGGCGCAAGCCUGAUGCAGCGACGCCGCGUGCGGGAUUACGGCCUUCGGGUUGUAAACCGCUUUUGAUCGGGAGCAAGCCUUCGGGUGAGUGUACCUUUCGAUAAGCACCGGCUAACUACGUGCC